rnacentral:rRNA from 1 species
UACGGAGGGGGUUAGCGUUGUUCGGAUUUACUGGGCGUAAAGCGUGCGCAGGCGGUGAUGUAAGACAGGUGUGAAAUCCCAGGGCUUAACCUUGGAACUGCAUUUGUGACUGCAUCGCUAGAGUACGGUAGAGGGGGAUGGAAUUCCGCGUGUAGCAGUGAAAUGCGUAGAUAUGCGGAGGAACACCGAUGGCGAAGGCAAUCCCCUGGAUCUGUACUGACGCUCAUGCACGAAAGCGUGGGGAGCAAACAGG